rnacentral:rRNA from 1 species
AGCGUACACGGUGGAUGCCCUGGCAGUCAGAGGCGAUGAAGGACGUGCUAAUCUGCGAUAAGCGUCGGUAAGGUGAUAUGAACCGUUAUAACCGGCGAUUUCCGAAUGGGGAAACCCAGUGUGAUUCGUCACACUAUCAUUAACUGAAUCCAUAGGUUAAUGAGGCGAACCGGGGGAACUGAAACAUCUAAGUACCCCGAGGAAAAGAAAUCAACCGAGAUUCCCCCAGUAGCGGCGAGCGAACGGGGAGCAGCCCAGAGCCUGAAUCAGUGUGUGUGUUAGUGGAAGCGUCUGGAAAGGCGCGCGAUACAGGGUGACAGCCCCGUACACAAAAAUGCACAUGCUGUGAGCUCGAUGAGUAGGGCGGGACACGUGGUAUCCUGUCUGAAUAUGGGGGGACCAUCCUCCAAGGCUAAAUACUCCUGACUGACCGAUAGUGAACCAGUACCGUGAGGGAAAGGCGAAAAGAACCCCGGCGAGGGGAGUGAAAAAGAACCUGAAACCGUGUACGUACAAGCAGUGGGAGCACAGAGCAAUCUGUGUGACUGCGUACCUUUUGUAUAAUGGGUCAGCGACUUAUAUUCUGUAGCAAGGUUAACCGAAUAGGGGAGCCGAAGGGAAACCGAGUCUUAACUGGGCGUUAAGUUGCAGGGUAUAGACCCGAAACCCGGUGAUCUAGCCAUGGGCAGGUUGAAGGUUGGGUAACACUAACUGGAGGACCGAACCGACUAAUGUUGAAAAAUUAGCGGAUGACUUGUGGCUGGGGGUGAAAGGCCAAUCAAACCGGGAGAUAGCUGGUUCUCCCCGAAAGCUAUUUAGGUAGCGCCUCGUGAAUUCAUCUCCGGGGGUAGAGCACUGUUUCGGCAAGGGGGUCAUCCCGACUUACCAACCCGAUGCAAACUGCGAAUACCGGAGAAUGUUAUCACGGGAGACACACGGCGGGUGCUAACGUCCGUCGUGAAGAGGGAAACAACCCAGACCGCCAGCUAAGGUCCCAAAGUCAUGGUUAAGUGGGAAACGAUGUGGGAAGGCCCAGACAGCCAGGAUGUUGGCUUAGAAGCAGCCAUCAUUUAAAGAAAGCGUAAUAGCUCACUGGUCGAGUCGGCCUGCGCGGAAGAUGUAACGGGGCUAAACCAUGCACCGAAGCUGCGGCAGCGACGCUUAUGCGUUGUUGGGUAGGGGAGCGUUCUGUAAGCCUGCGAAGGUGUGCUGUGAGGCAUGCUGGAGGUAUCAGAAGUGCGAAUGCUGACAUAAGUAACGAUAAAGCGGGUGAAAAGCCCGCUCGCCGGAAGACCAAGGGUUCCUGUCCAACGUUAAUCGGGGCAGGGUGAGUCGACCCCUAAGGCGAGGCCGAAAGGCGUAGUCGAUGGGAAACAGGUUAAUAUUCCUGUACUUGGUGUUACUGCGAAGGGGGGACGGAGAAGGCUAUGUUGGCCGGGCGACGGUUGUCCCGGUUUAAGCGUGUAGGCUGGUUUUCCAGGCAAAUCCGGAAAAUCAAGGCUGAGGCGUGAUGACGAGGCACUACGGUGCUGAAGCAACAAAUGCCCUGCUUCCAGGAAAAGCCUCUAAGCAUCAGGUAACAUCAAAUCGUACCCCAAACCGACACAGGUGGUCAGGUAGAGAAUACCAAGGCGCUUGAGAGAACUCGGGUGAAGGAACUAGGCAAAAUGGUGCCGUAACUUCGGGAGAAGGCACGCUGAUAUGUAGGUGAAGCGACUUGCUCGUGGAGCUGAAAUCAGUCGAAGAUACCAGCUGGCUGCAACUGUUUAUUAAAAACACAGCACUGUGCAAACACGAAAGUGGACGUAUACGGUGUGACGCCUGCCCGGUGCCGGAAGGUUAAUUGAUGGGGUCAGCGCAAGCGAAGCUCUUGAUCGAAGCCCCGGUAAACGGCGGCCGUAACUAUAACGGUCCUAAGGUAGCGAAAUUCCUUGUCGGGUAAGUUCCGACCUGCACGAAUGGCGUAAUGAUGGCCAGGCUGUCUCCACCCGAGACUCAGUGAAAUUGAACUCGCUGUGAAGAUGCAGUGUACCCGCGGCAAGACGGAAAGACCCCGUGAACCUUUACUAUAGCUUGACACUGAACAUUGAGCCUUGAUGUGUAGGAUAGGUGGGAGGCUUUGAAGUGUGGACGCCAGUCUGCAUGGAGCCGACCUUGAAAUACCACCCUUUAAUGUUUGAUGUUCUAACGUGGACCCGUAAUCCGGGUUGCGGACAGUGUCUGGUGGGUAGUUUGACUGGGGCGGUCUCCUCCUAAAGAGUAACGGAGGAGCACGAAGGUUGGCUAAUCCUGGUCGGACAUCAGGAGGUUAGUGCAAUGGCAUAAGCCAGCUUGACUGCGAGCGUGACGGCGCGAGCAGGUGCGAAAGCAGGUCAUAGUGAUCCGGUGGUUCUGAAUGGAAGGGCCAUCGCUCAACGGAUAAAAGGUACUCCGGGGAUAACAGGCUGAUACCGCCCAAGAGUUCAUAUCGACGGCGGUGUUUGGCACCUCGAUGUCGGCUCAUCACAUCCUGGGGCUGAAGUAGGUCCCAAGGGUAUGGCUGUUCGCCAUUUAAAGUGGUACGCGAGCUGGGUUUAGAACGUCGUGAGACAGUUCGGUCCCUAUCUGCCGUGGGCGCUGGAGAACUGAGGGGGGCUGCUCCUAGUACGAGAGGACCGGAGUGGACGCAUCACUGGUGUUCGGGUUGUCAUGCCAAUGGCACUGCCCGGUAGCUAAAUGCGGAAGAGAUAAGUGCUGAAAGCAUCUAAGCACGAAACUUGCCCCGAGAUGAGUUCUCCCUGACUCCUUGA